rnacentral:rRNA from 1 species
CCCAAGAGAUCGGGAUAACACCUGGAAACAGAUGCUAAUACCGGAUAACAACAGAUGAUGCCUAUCAACUGUUUAAAAGAUGGUUCUGCUAUCACUCUUGGAUGGACCUGCGGCGCAUUAGCUAGUUGGUAGGGUAACGGCCUACCAAGGCGAUGAUGCAUAGCCGAGUUGAGAGACUGAUCGGCCACAUUGGGACUGAGACACGGCCCAAACUCCUACGGGAGGCAGCAGAG